UAGGCUGUAGCUAAAUAUAAGCAUCUCAUUUACACUGAGAGUAUCAUCUAAAAUAAUUGUAUGCUGCCUAA
rnacentral:tRNA from 2 species